rnacentral:tRNA from 1 species
GCAGAUGUGGCAGAGUGGUCUUCCUUUGUCAAAACAAAGAACACAAUAAUGCGUCGGCCUUGAGAGCCGAUUCGCCCUCGGGCGAUCAGGAGUUCAAAUCUCCUCAUCUGCGCCA